rnacentral:lncRNA from 10 species
GCGUGCCCCGCUGCAGCUCGCUGCCCGCCAGGUCCGGGUGGCAGCGCAGGAUGCCCUCCUGGCCUGCGGAGAAGCACAGACACCGGCGGGAGCGCGUCAACCGCGCCCGUCCCGCACCGCGCACUCGAGGGGGCGCGUAGGCCGCGCCCGGCCCCCCUGCCCCGCCCCGCCCCGCCCGGCCCCAAAGAAGGCUGCGGGAGGGUGAAGUAGAGUACCCAGGCGGUGAUGUCCUGGCGGAACAGGGGCGCCCUUGGCGCGCCCCUCUAACAAGUCCUGGACCUUGCGCUUCUCGGUCCCCACUACAUUCGGUCGGGACCAGGAUCCAGGGGCGGGGCGGGAAGUGACACGUUUGUCUUUUGAGACCUUGGGUCAAGAAGAGCGGAGGAGAGAGAGGGCGGCCGCUGAGGCUCGGAAUUUACGACUAGGUCGGGAGGGAGCAGAGACGCGAUAAGGAUCCUGAGCUUUUCCUAUCUUUCAAAGUCCUUUGCUCUCAGGGGGGGCUUUGAUGUCUAAAGGGGCCGGACGCAAGGGCCUGAAGACUUCCUGCAAAAGCUCUGGAAUGGGUUUCGUUCUGCUCCAAAGGAGAACGGACAGGGGCGGGGUGCAUCCAUAGGGAUAACAUCCAUGGGGCUCGGCAAAUAAAUGCCCUGGAUUUUGUGACCCUAAGUGUGAGUUCUGGGUUUCUGGAAUCAGGCAUCCAAAGAGCCUUGCAGAUGAUUAACUGCAAAGAAACCCACCUCUAGCCAGAGUUCCACAGCCCUUUGAAUGAAAGUGGCUUUCCUCUAUUUAGGAAACUGCACCCACCCAUCCCCCACCGGCCCGGGACUUAUUCCCCUUCUCCGACUGUAGAUCCCAGAGGCCCCAGAGAACAGCGUUUACUUGAAGGAAAUCUUUGCAUAAUCUCCUAGGCCUAAAAUUGAAAAACUCUGGCGAGUUACCUGUGAUUUUCAGUCCCAGGGAUUUCACGGAGUUAGCGCUGGGCAAUCAUCUUGCUCAGCUCUCUAAAGUGAAAAUUAGAACCCUCGGGGCGAGGCAAGAUUCCAGAUAUGGUGAGCAGGGCGCUAUGAUUUGUAAAAUGCGGGUGACGCCUAACUUGCUUUAGAGUUGUGAGGAUUAGAGACAAUUCAUUUACUUAAAACACAUCGCCUAAUACCUAGUAAACAGAAACAGUCAUUAUUAGUUGUAGUAAACCCAGUGGAACUGGACUGAAGUGCCUCAGGAAGUACCUGUCUCUGUAUCUCAGUAAAGCGGUUGUCCGCCUCUGGCGCUGGGAAUAGGCGUGGGGUCUGUUGGAAAAGGCGCGCACGUAAAACACCGUUCAAUGAAUUUUAUCUCAAAGAAGCUGAAAAUUAAACCCCCUGUAAGGUAGACGUCCUCUUCCUCAAACUUAUUGUUUCUGUCUAAUAAAAGGAUGAUUGAUAGUGCACCAUCUAACUCAUGAACUAAUUUCUCCCUGAAAGACACGGAGAACUGGGGGUAACAUCCCCGUGUAAGAGAGGAUUCAGUGAAGGCUGAAAAAGAACUAGUGACCUGCCUAGGGUCACUCACCACACUGCGCCUGGACCCUCUACUCCAAAUCACAGGCGUUUUCAGGGCACGGCUGCCCCUGCAAGGUUAAGGAAAGUUCAAAACGAAAGUCAUGUCACCUAUAAUCCCAUCCCUCUAACACCACUGUUUUUUGUUUUUUGUGUGUUUUUUCAAGACAGCUCUGUCGCCCGGGAUGGAGUGCAGUGGGGCGAUCUUGGCUCACUGCAACCUCUGCCUCCUGGGUUCAAGCGAUCCUCCCGCCUCGGCCUCCUAAAGUGCUGGGAUUACAGGUGUGAGCCACCGAGCCGGCCUAACACCACUGUGAUAGAGCCCUUCUGGUAGGUGUCCUGCCCCUCGGGCACUGCAAACAGGAACGGGUCUUUCCCGCUUCCCGCGUCCAGCUCCGUCAGGGUAGUGCGAAAAUGUGAGAAUUAAAUUCCCCACCUGGGGGAGCAGCCCCAGCCCUGUGCCCGGGGUUGGUCGUGCCACGCGGCCACUUGUCAGGCCUGGGGAACCGAGCUCAGCUCCCGCCCGGAUCCCCUCCGCGCUCACCCAGGCCCAGGACGGUAACCUGCCCGGGCUGCGGAGGAGGGGAAAGUGCGAGUCUUGGGCGGCUGGACCUUCCGCGCCUCCUCUUCAGGUGUUCGGAGUUUCAGAGCAGCCGCUAGGUCCCCCGCCCAGUCAGGGGACUUCCCUCCCCACCGUUGCAUGCUGUCUGGAGGAUCAGCCCAAGCUGCGAGGGAGGUGGUCACUGGUGGGAGGUCCGGGCGCGGGGUCUGUCGUCUUGCCGCCCCCACCAGGCUCCCCGCGCAGGCCGCGCAGCAGAGGGAGGCGGCGGCGGCGUCCCGCCAACGUGGCGUACCCCGAGCCCCCUUCUUGCCCUUGGUGCCCUCGCAUCUCGCUUCUCACUCUCUAGAGUUUGUCUCCCGCUUGGAAACGUCGCCCGGGGUUAAUGUUUGCCUAGAACUGAGCACGAGUUUUCCACUCUUGCAGCGCGAGAAGAGAAAAGACGCAGAUAAACUAGCAGAGCAAAGGGCAGAAGAAAAGAGACUAAAAAGGAGAAACUAGAAUUUACUCUCUGUUUCAGUCGCUUCUCUCUCUCUCUCUCUCUCCUCUCUCUCUCUCUCUCUCUCUCUGUCUCUUAGCUGCGCCUAACAAGAAAAAGGUGUGAGGAAUCAGGUAGAGGAUGGUAGCUCGGAAGAAACAGAGCCUGACCUCACCUGGCCAGAUAUCCAAUCUUCAUUGCCCCAAACCACUGGACCCUUGAAGAAUGUCUGAUACGGAAGCCUUACCUGACUGUGCAAGGGCAUCAAUAAAGGCAAAAAAGUGCUUCUCUAAAUCUUCCAAAUCAGAGAAUGGCCGCUGGGACCAAACAGCAGCUGCAAUCAGAGGACAUCUCUCAGUGGCAUUCCCAAACACAUCCACGAAUUCUCCAAGGUCCAUGGAGUUGACCUUCUCAAUGUCCAUUCCUUGUAUUCCACUGGAGACAGCGGGACGUCCAGCUCCCCUCUCGGUGAGUGAGUGACGCUGUCUCGGCUCACUCGGUUAUAUCUGCUGAACACAAGAGCUUGCUGUUUACGCAACACCACCUUCGCGUGUUUUAAAUGCCUUUGGGAGAAGCAGAUCCAGAAUACUUGUGUAAUGAACAAGCACAGGCUUAAGGUUCUAAUCCAGGGAGCAGAGAUCUCUGCAUGGUCAAUGUUUCCAACCAAACCAUUCCCAUAAUCAAAGGCAGCAGGGGCCAUAUUUCACUCUAAGCAUUAGAGCCAGAUUUGUUUUUCAUGUUGUUAGGCUUUUUUUUUUUUUUUUUUUUUUUUGGUGUCUAGCUCUGUCACCCAGGCUGGAGCACAGUGGUGCAAUCUCAGCUCACUACAACCUCCACCCCCUGGGUUCCAGCGAUUUGCCUAUCUCAGCCUCCUGAGUAGCUGGGAUUACAGGCAUUUGCCACCACAUCCAGCUAAGUUUAUGUUUUUGGUUUUGUUUGUUUGUUUGUUUGUUUGUUUUAGUAGAAACAGGGUUUCACCAUGUUGGCCAGGCUGGUCUCGAACUCCUGACCUCAAGUAAUCCACCUGCCUCGGCCUCGCAAAGUGCUGGAAUUACAGGUAAUUAUUAUAUUGUUAUUAUUUGAGAUAGGUUCUGCCUAGGUUGUCCAAGCUGGAGUGCAGUGGCUAUUCAUAGGCACAA